CCUUAACACUUUCGCCAAUAGUCUUCCAUUAGGGUCUUUCAGUGUUAGGUAGUUAUCCCUCAUCCUAACAUCACAUCCUUGUUCAGUAGCUUGUCCCAAGCUUAAUAUGUUGCUUUUUAGGUCUGGAAUGUAGUAUAUGUCGGUCAAGAGUCUAUGUUCCCAUGUCUUUGCUUCAAAUAGUAUCGACCCCUUGCCAUUGAUGUCGACACAUGAACCAUCUCCGAACUUCACCUUUCCUUUAAUGCUUUCAUUAAGUUCAGAGAAG
rnacentral:lncRNA from 1 species